GAGGGAAACGUUACUGAUAAUACUGGAUAAGUUAGUAUAUCGCAUGAUAUGCAAAUGAAAGCUACGGCACUAAAGGAGAGCUUUGCGUCCUAUUAGCUAGUUGGUAAGGUAAGAGCUUACCAAGGCGAUGAUAGGUAGCCGGCCUGAGAGGGUGGACGGCCACAAGGGGACUGAGAUACGGCCCUUACUCCUACGGGAGGCAGCAGGC
rnacentral:rRNA from 1 species